GGAGUCUAGCAUGUGCGCGAGUCAUUGGGACUUGCGAAACCUAAAGGCGUAAUGAAAGUGAAGGCGCGCCUCGCGCGCGCCGAGGGAGGAUGGGCCGGGUCCAGGCUCGGCCCCGCACUCCCGGGGCGUUUCGUUCUCAUCGCGAGAUGAGGCGCACCCAGAGCGUACACGCUGGGACCCGAAAGAUGGUGAACUAUGCCUGGUCAGGACGAAGUCAGGGGAAACCCUGAUGGAGGUCCGUAGCGAUUCUGACGUGCAAAUCGAUCGUCGGAACUGGGUAUAGGGGCGAAAGACUAAUCGAACCAUCUAGUAGCUGGUUCCCUCCGAAGUUUCCCUCAGGAUAGCUGGCGCUCGCUUCGCGAGUCUCAUCCGGUAAAGCGAAUGAUUAGAGGCAUUGGGGUCGAAACGGCCUCAACCUAUUCUCAAACUUUAAAUGGGUGAGAUCUCCGGCUUGCUCGAAAAUUGAAGCCGCGAGAUACUCAUAUUCGGAUCAGAGUGCCAAGUGGGCCAUUUUUGGUAAGCAGAACUGGCGCUGUGGGAUGAACCAAACGUAGAGUUAAAGCGCCGAAAUCGACGCUUAUGGGAUACCAUGAAAGGCGUUGGUAACUUAAGACAGCAGGACGGUGGCCAUGGAA
rnacentral:rRNA from 1 species